rfam:Pan troglodytes isolate Yerkes chimp pedigree #C0471 (Clint) chromosome 10, whole genome shotgun sequence.
GCUGGGUGUGGUGGUGCACACCUGUAAUCCCAGCUACUCAGGAGGCUGAGGCAGGAGAAUCACUUGAACCCAGGAGGCGGAGGUUGCAGUGAGCCAAGAUUGUGCCACUGCACUCUAGCCUGGGUGACAGAGGGAGACUCUGUCUCAG